AAGUCGUAACAAGGUUUUCGUAGGUGAACCUGCGGAAGGAUCAUUAGUGAAGUUUUAGAGCGCUCGAAAGAGGCUCGACUACACUUUUCUUACACUGUGAACUUGAUUUUUCAACUUGUCUGGCAACGGACUUGUUCGAAACCCUAGUCUUAAUAGAAGUCUUGAAUGUAACCUUUGAUAAACGAAAGUAACAACUUUCAGCAACGGAUUUCUUGGCUCUC
rnacentral:misc_RNA from 1 species